ACUAACAACAAAAAGGUAAUAUCUAUAGAGAAACCUUUACCCUUUGGCGGCCCCUUUUCUAACCAAAGGAACUUGUUAAAUAAUCGAAACUACCCGAUCAAUCUUACUUCCUUUCAGCUUUUAUACCGUCGUCUAAAGAAUUUAUUUAAAUAUAUAUAUUCAAAAAAAGAAUUAAUCAUUUAAGUCAGAUCAAGGUGAAGCGUAUAAGAAAGAACUAAUGAGUUAUUUAUAAAUAAUAUUUAAAAAUUUAUUAUCAAAAUAAAAAUGAAUUAAGAUCUGGAAGUACUUUAAGAUUAAGAUUCCUGAAGGAAUUAGUAAAAAGAGGUGU
rnacentral:rRNA from 1 species